rnacentral:rRNA from 1 species
CGGGGGGAGCAAGCGUUGUUCGGAUUUACUGGGCGUAAAGGGCGCGUAGGCGGCCACCGCAAGUCGACUGUGAAAUCUCCGGGCUUAACCCGGAAAGGUCAGCCGAUACUGCGGGGCUAGAGUGCAGAAGGGGCAACUGGAAUUCUCGGUGUAGCGGUGAAAUGCGUAGAUAUCGAGAGGAACACCUGCGGCGAAGGCGGGUUGCUGGGCUGACACUGACGCUGAUGCGCGAAAGCUAGGGGAGCGAACGGGAUUAGAUACCCCGGUAGUCCUAGCCUUAAACGAUGAAUGCUUGGUGUCUGGGGUUUUAUAGUCCCCGAGUGCCGUCGCUAACGCUUUAAGCAUUCCGCCUGGGGAGUACGGUCGCAAGACUG